UGCAAAAAGAUAAGUUUGGGGUAUGCAUCCGUAGAUUAAAAAUGUUGUUGAAAAAUGGCAAGUGCAAGGAAAAGAAAGAAGAACAAAAAAGAGAGAAAAAAAGUGUGUAGAAACAUCCGCUUCUACCGAAAAAAAAGAAGAGAAAAAGAAAUGAAAAAAAGCACUUGCCUUAGAAAUAUACUCAUGCAUUAAAAUGAAUUUGAGUGAAAAAAGAGUCAAGAUUUGACGACACCCCAAAAAUAAAAAUUUUGCACAAAGGAAAACAAAAACAUGAAUGCCGAGAUGUAAAACCUGUUGUAAUCCAUUUUGUU
rnacentral:lncRNA from 1 species